UCUGAAUCAAGGUGUAGCAACCUGCACACACCGGGGAAAGAACAUCCACCUAAACGGCGCAAAGGUCUGCUUUCAUGUUCACAGGUGACUUCCUCAGCGGAGCCGGAAACCCCUUAGCUGUUUGAGCCUGAUGCCCUCGUCCUUGACGCACAUACAAGUGUGCCCAUACCCUCGGAGGAGCCUGCAUAGCGAGGACUCUGUCCCAGUGGCAAAUGGAGCAGUUCUUUCACAAAGAAAGCAGAUUUCCGCCAGAAGACCAACAAGCAGUUUUCUUGAAAUAGUACCAAUUACUUGUCGUUUUUCUAAUUGCAAAAUAUUGGGCAUGCUACGUCAGUACUGGGGUUUUUUUGCUUCUUUCCAGUUACCUCAACUGGUGACUUCAAGCUUACGUAACACAAUAAUAUAAGAGGGCAUGAAGCAGGCGAACUGGUGUCGUGAGAUUGUGUCCCCCAGUCUUAGGGA